CCCUGCUGUCCCUGCCACCCCUCAGAGGGCCUUCCCCCUCCAUGUGCCAGCAGGGCACCUGGACCCCAGCCCAGGGGCUGUGUUUAUUUAUUUCAUCCCAGCCAGGGGUCACUCCACGCUGUCCCUGCCUCCCCUCGGGUGUCACCUCUGUGCCCCAUCAGCUCAGCCACCAGGGCACUCCUGCCUGGGAUCCUCCCACGUUUUUGGGGGCUUGAGGAGCUCGAGGGCAGCUUGAAGCCAUCCUUAGGGCUGUGUCAUCUGGAGGCCUUGCAGUAACACAGCAGAGCUGCUGUGCCCCAGAGAAGUGUGGCUUUUCCUUUCUGAAGGGCCACAGAAUGCUCCCUGAGCUCCAGAGCUGCUGGCUGUGCUGUGGUCACCUCGCCAAGGAUGGACACAGGUCUCAAAUUGGAUGGAGAGGCUACUUUUGCAAGUAGAACAUGAAUUUUCUUCUUUCUUUGCCCCUGACAUUGUAAGGGGAGAAGCCAGUUUUGUACUUCCAAGGCAGUGAACACCCUCACCCCAUAAGAGCAUUUUGUAGGUUGUUUGACUCGUCUGCAAGUGGGAUGCUGUUUAUUCAGCCCAGAGUUCUCCUGGCUCUGGCACUUCUCAAGUGACAACAUCAAAAGGCCCAGAUCUCACUGUAUUUUUUUGCUUUUCUGUUUUUUUUUUUUCCCCUCCUAGGCACACAGCCCACCCUGAAAAUCUGGGGUGCUUAAAAUGUCUUGAAAAUUGUGAUUUAAAGUAGGGCAACACAAAAUGAGACCUAACUUUCCUUUUGAUUUGUGUCAAUUCCUUCCACUUCUGGCUCUGUGUGCACUGGGGAUGUUUUUGGGUCUGUUUUCAAAAGUAAACUUAAGCCUCCAGCACUGCAUUCAUGUCAGCCUUUUCCACUUCCCCAUGUGGAGAUUUAUUCCAAUAGAAAAGACUUUGUUUUGCUUCUGUCAGUGGGUAGACCAAAAAUGCAUCCUUCACUGGAAUAAAAUUACUCCAUGGGCCAGUUAUGCCCCUGUUGUGUAACUGAUCAGGAGCAGAGGGGCUGACGAAACAUUUAUGGUUGAACACAAUAAAACAGAGAAGGUUUCAAAGAGAAAUGACAUUUUUAGGCCAGUCUAACAUGUUGGUCCCACCGAUCUCAACACAGAUCUGCAGCUGGCAGCUCUGACUUGCAGCAUUAGUUGAGCUCCAGCUUUUCCUCACCCCUCUGGCUCUUAAAAACUCUUAAACUCUUUAACUCUUAGAAAGCUCAUGUGAUGCUCAGGGGGCUGGGAGUGCAGGGUGCCUGGCAGGGAUGUGGGGCCGUGUCCCCCGGCGGAGCCUCUCCAGCCGCGCUCUGGUUUCUCUCACCCGCCGGCCAACAGCAAUUGUGUGGCUUUUCAGCUGCUUUUUUUCCUUCUCUCCAGUGAACAUGUGUUUCCAAUAUCCGAGCAAGCCUGGCCUUUGGAGGCUGCUGUUGCUGAGCCCUGUGCUGAUCCUCCUUCCCCCCAGCCUGGCUGAGCUGUCCCUGCUGCCACCAGCUCACCCGUCCCCUCCUGCCACCUGAGGGGCAAACCCCACCGGGAGGGGGAAGUUGAUUGUAACAGUUCUGGUUCCUUUUUCUCUCUGCCAAGGUCAGGAUAAAUAACAUGGGAAAGGUAGAUUUUGAGUUCAGACUUGGAAUUUUUAUUAUCUCUUAUCUGUUUGCAGUAUUUACAGAUUCACGCACCGUGAGCUCUUAGAAAAUGAGGGUAAAAUGGAGAGUUUCUAACUCUUUCCAAGGUUAUUGAAGUGAUAAAUCCCCAAUAAGUGAUACCUAUAUUAUUUAUGUUCUUGACCCAAUAAUGACCACCCAAGGCCCGCAAUGUGGACCUUUUUCACCUAAUUACAGAAAACCACCCAAACCCAUGAAGGGAUGGAAGAAGGUGAAGAAGAAACACAAAGGCAACACCCAAAAUCCUCCAUCUUAACUCACACAUAUUACUAUAUACUAAAACCUUAAAUCUAAGUUUCUAGGACUCCAAAAGUUGAUGGGAAAUUUUGCUUCUCUGAGAACUCAAGCAGGCAUUUGGGUUUCAUUCUGCUCUCUUGGGAAGUCCAAAUUGUGUUUUUCCUUCAUUGUGGACAGGCUUUCCCCAGCACAUAGACACAAAAGGUGACGGGGCCACCUCUCCUGCAGGGUGAUGUUGCUGUGACAGUGCUGUAGCAGAGGAUCCUGUGUGGGAGCCUUGUCCUGGGGCUGUCACACACAACUGGGGUGCAGUUUGUGCCCUACCUGAGGCAGCAGGGCCAUGGACCCUCGCAGCAGGGUAUGGGAAGGGCAUUGAGUCCUUGCUGUGGUGCCUCUGUCUUCUCCAGGAGGUGACUGAGAGGAUGGCAGUGGGCUCAUUCCAGACAGGCUCCUGCCUGGACCCUGGCACCUCCAGGAUUCCUUUCCAAGGCAUCACCUGCUCACCUGUGCUGCGUGUCCCCAUCACCUUCACAGCCACCAAGGGGGACCUGCAGCAACCGGAGGUGUCCCAGGGAGGGUUUUCUCCUGGUUUGGGACCCUCAGCAGUUACAACACCUUCAGGGAGGACUGAGGAGCAGGGGGGAUGAUGGCCAGGUGCCUUCCUGGCACCUGGUCCCCAGGGACCAGCCCUGGGGACAUUGUCACCAGCUGCAGGGAACCCCAGUGGCACCAUCCCCACGCUGCCCUGGCCAUCCCCGGUGCUGGGUGCUGCCCUCCUGGGGAGCUGCUGCUGGUGGUGAGGGUGGACAUGGCUCAGGACUCCCUGGGGAUGCUGCAGGCAGCUGGGUUAACCCUGCCAGAGCUGGGGUGAGAGCUUGCUUUUUUCUAAAUUUAAAGGAGUGAGGGAUAAAAUCAAAGUUGGUGCAGAGAGUCAGAGGCCGGAGCAGAGGAUUGCUUGGCUCUGCUCCAGUCUGGCCCUCCCAUCCUGGCAGCUCCAGGGUUAAUCAGCAGAGAAGUUUCUGCUGCAUGAGGGAGUUCUCAAGGGAGUUCAGGGCAGGUUUUGCAGCUCACACACACAGCCUGCAGCACUCCCAUGUAACCAUGCCCGAGGAUGGCCCUGGCAGGGGCUUCCAGCUCUGCCACCCAAAAAAUAUCCCUGCUCUGACCCGUGCAGAGCUCUGUUCAGCUCAGGAAUGGCUCUGGAGCUCUGCCUGGCCUCUACCAGAGCUGGUGGCUCAGGAAUUGCCACCCAUCCCUGUUUCCCCUCUGGCUGCCCCUCUCAGGUGCCCAGCAGCUCCCUGGAGCAGGUGGUGGGGCUGGGUGGCUGCUGGGGCCUCGCUGGUGUUUGCUCAACACACAGCUCCAAUUCCUGCUGUGGGUUUGAGCUGGGGCACAACCAAAAGGAAAUAACUUUGCAGCUCACUGUGGAUUUUGAUUCCUGUAACAGCAUUUCAGGGGAACCAGCAGGAGUGAGCCUGUGCUGAGAUCCUGUCUGUGCACUGUGGCAGAAUAAAUAACGUGUGUGCUGGGCACCACAGUGUGUGCCCAGCCCUGGCAAGGUGUGCCCAGCCCUGGCAAGGUGUGCCCAGCCCUGGCAAGGUGUGCCCAGGUGCACAGCCAAGCCCAGGAGGGGCUGAGGGAACAAGCAGCACCAGCUGGAGUGGCUGGAGCCCGUUCUGCACCUCCUGCUCCAGCCCAUCCACUCCCCUCUGAGCUCCUCCACCCCUCCCAGCAGAGCCCAGAAUGUGAGUUAUAAGUUAAUAAUAUCAGGGCCCAUUUGGGGAAGGGGAAGAAAAUAGGUUUAUUUUUUUUCUUGAGCAUUCUCUUCUAUGAUGUGCUCAGAGCAAAUAGCACUUGUCACCACCUAAUCCAUUUUCCUUCGGUGUCUUCACACGAAUGGGAUGUUUAGCUACAGGCAGACAUUGUUCUUAGUGGAAAGGUUCACUUUCUUUUACAUAAUUAAGGUUUUGUGGAAACCAAAACCCCUACCUACCUAGGAUAAGUUGAUAGAAUAUCUAGAAACUUGCAGAAAACCCUAAAAACACAGAGUUUGCUCUGCUGGGGAGUCCCUUGGUGGUCUCAGGGUGGUGCAGGGGGGUCACCUCUGUGGAUGAGGCACUGUCAGGAGCCCAUGGGAGCAGGAGGUUGUGUCAGAGGUGCCUGGGUGGGUACAGAUGGACACAGCAGGGGCGUGGGCAGGCUCUGGCUCUGCCUCCUCUCCACUGUGGCAUCCUCGGCAUCCUCCGGAUGUGUGAGGGAUCUGAGGGAUGGGAACUGAGCUUUUCACAUGUAGAUUGAGCUGAAACUCCAAACACAGUCUGCCUGGCUGUGGAUUGCUCUGCAUUUGCUCUGUGUGCAUCCUGGUCUUUAAAGGAAAAGCUGAUGAAAGAGGCAGGAACACAGGCUCAGUGGGGAAGAAGCUUUUAGAGGAGAAAAAUUGUUUGGAAAAUAGCAAAGAGAGAGGAGGGGAAAGAAUUCUGCUGGGAAGGGAGCAUUACUGCAUUGCUUCCUUGGAGGUCUGGGAAAUACAUUAUGCAGAGCUCCAAACAAUGUUUGCCAGCAGCAAGUCAGCUUAGAUGUGUCCAUGGGGGGUUCCUUGUGUUUUUUUCUAUUCUUUUUUCCCUUUAAUAGCCAAAAUCUCUCUUUCCUGGGGCCCAGGGUGAUCUGUGACCCUGUGUUUGUGUUAGGACCUCGUUUAUCCCUGUGCUAACGAUGUGCUGGGGGCUGUGUGUGUUUUGUUGGGGUGUGGGGACAGGACUCACCUGGCACAGUGCAGCUCCACCCCUGGCAGAGGGGAUGACCAGGGCAGGGUUCAGGGGGGUCACCAGUGCUGGGUGCCCUGGGGCAGCCUUGAGCUGCUGUUUUCAGAUCAGCUGGAGCUGAGUGGGUCUGUCUGGGGCUGAAUGUCCCUCCCUCAGCACUGGAGCCAGGCAGAGGUGUCCCCAUGGGUUGGGGACGCUGCCUGAUGGCUGCUGAGGGGCAGGAUCAGCCCCUUCCCCUCUGCACUCCUGUGUCUGGGGCUGCAGGGAUCUCUGAGCCCUUUGUAGGGCCUGAGGAGACCCUGCUGGGGUUUGGCUUGAGUCUGUUGGCAGUGGGUGCUCUCUUGUCCCUUCAGUGAGGCUCAUUCCAGACAGGCUCCUGCCCCAAAGGUGAUCCUGGCACCUCCAGGAUUCCUUUCCAAGGCAUCACCUGCUCACCUGUGCUGUUUGUCCCUGUCACCUUCAGAGCCACCGAGGGGGACCUGCAGCAACUGGAGGCGUCCCAGGGAGGGUUUUCUCCUGGUUUGGGACCCUCAGCAG